AGCUAUCUACCCAGGUGAGUCAACUGUUGAAUGUGGCGACUGUAUCUUGUGGUUCUGAUUGUGCUCCUCAGAAAACACCCACCAAAAACUCUGAGAGUGUGAACCGAGACAACUCCCAAAAAGCUAAAUCCACCCAGCCACCAGUGCCUGUGAUCUUUUGCUACAAAUGUGGUGAAGACGGACAUAAGAAGUGGGAGUGCAAAGCACCAGAGGACCUCAGAAAAGUGAAUCAGAAGCUGAUAAAGAUGCAGCGCCUUCAGGGAAACUGGGCCGGAGCUCAGUGAAGGAACGGCACGGGGCUCCUGAGACAACACGUUCCACUUGUGGUUCAUUCAUGCUUGAUGCCAGUAAGCCAAAAUUGCCUGAGGGGUUAGUAGGACCUGUCUCUGAAGUGCCUGUCCAGAUAGAAGGCAUCUACGCAAAAGCUCUUCUUGACAGCGGUUCGCAGGUUACUCUCUUAUACCGCAGUUUUUAUGAAACUUAUCUGAAACAUUUGGAACUUCAGCCUGUGGAAAACCUUGAGAUUUGGGGUCUAAGCUCACACAAAUACCUCUAUGAUGGAUAUUUGCCUCUUAGACUUGAGUUCACAGAAAGUGUAGCUGGAGUGCAUCAAGUGAUUGACACGCUUGCCAUUGUAUGCCCCGAUCCUGUGAAACGGGAAGGAAUAGCUAUUUUGCUUGGGACCAACACUAGUUUAGUGAAGAAAUUGCUUGAGUCUUGUCGUAAACAAGCUGGUGAAAAAUUCUUGAAUGUGCUAACCAUACAUCCUGUAAUCAGAGAGGCGUACGAGACUAUGCAACAAACAAAUGUUUCACAUGAUGACACAGACAAGCAUGGGACAGUUUGGUUCGUGAAGCAUAACCCUGUUGUCCUGACACCAAAUCAAAUUCUGCAACUUCCUGGUCUGCUUAAGUUUCCUGGUCAAAUGACUGAAUCUCUAGUGCUAGUAGACAGAACAGCAGUUGGUGACACAGACGCUGAUGACCUAGAGGUGAGGCCUGAACUUCAUUCAGCAUCUGUUGUAUCCAGUCGCCGAGUCACAGUGACCGUCAGGAACAUGUCUACAAAAGAAGUAUGGGUGAAACGAGGAACUCCUCUUGCCCAUGUUUUUCCAGUAUCCUUAGUGCCUCAACUUACCACUAAACAGCCACCAGAACAAAAUACUUUGACACCUGCAUCUUUUGAUUUUGGAGAUUCUCCAAUGCCAGAGGAAGCAAAACAAAGAUUGUGUGAGAAAAUGAUGCAGAGAAAGGAAGUGUUUUCUCUACAUGAGUGGGAUGUAGGAUGUUCAAAAAGCACCACUCAUGAGAUAAGGUUGAAUGAUUCACGCCCUUUUAGAGAAAGAUCUCGCCGUCUUGCCCCCGCUGACUUCGAAGAUGUGCGA
ensembl:lncRNA